rnacentral:rRNA from 1 species
GUCUACGGCCAUGCCACCCUGAAGGUGCCCAAUCUCGUCUGAUCUCGGAAGCUAAGCAAGGUCGGGCCUGGUUAGUACUUGGAUGGGAGACCACCUAGAAAUAAUGUCUACACACAGAUGCUGUAGACA